UGGGAGCGGAGCCUCAUUCCGCGCUGGGGGCUGAUGGGGAAGGAGCGGCGGCGGCGGCUCGGCGGCGGCGGGCACGGGGCUCGCUGCGCCCCCCCCCCCCUUUGCUUCCUUCCCCCCGGCUCCCUCCGCUCUCCCGGGGGAGGCGCCGCGGUUGUGGGGCGGGGAGCGGAGCCGGAGCUGGAGUCGGAGCCGCCCGGGUAGGGGCGCGCAGCCAGGAGGGAGGGAAAGGUGUAGGAUGGAAGCUCAUAUAUACAUAACGAGCUACUUCAGCUGUGGAUGAGCUGGGAUGGAUGCCCUGGACAGCUAAGCACAAAUUCUGCAGGAGUGUGGAAGCUAGCAGAAAGGUCAAGAUGGAUCCAGCUUCAGGUGUGAACAAAGGUGGCCCCUGGGCUGAGGCUUCAUAGAGGAAGGAAGGUCUGAUCUGGAGUUUGGUUUAAAGGCACAGGUGAAGACCUUUGGAAAAGAACUUCCAUUGAGAAAACAGUGCCUACAAGUAUUAACUAAACCUUUAUCACAGGUGGGGAAAAUGAGUUUCUGAGAAUCCAGAGAUCUUUUUUUUUUUUUUUUACUUCCUUGUAAGUAAUAAUUUUUUCUUUAUAAACUGCUCCCCUCCAAUAUAUCGGGGGAGACUUAUUCAAAAUUCAAAACCAAAGAGAAAUGUUUAAAGCUGCUGUUUUUUUUUUUUCCCCUCUGCCCUGUGCAUGCAUACCUUGCUUAUACUGCAAAGGCUUUAGAAGUCUUGAAAAGUCUGGAAGAACUAAAAAUGCAUGGGAAAUGUUCCAAAGGUCAAAUAUCAAAGUGUCCUCUCAUAGUGGUACAUGCAUUGUAACUAAUAUCUUUGCAGAGUAUAGCUUUUAUUUUCUUAAAAACAGUUUUAAUGUUUGGUCAAAUUUGUGUUUUUACUUUUGGGAUAUGAAAAAAAGUGAAUCUGCUUCAAAAUUGUUCUGCUUGUGCCAUAAGGAUUCAGUUUUGUGCUUUCUGUAAUAGAGGAAGAAUGUGUUACAUCUUGAUGAAGCAAUGCUAAGUCUUACUUGGGGAAUUCUUAUUGUCUGUUUCUAUGAAUAAAGCAAUCAACUCUAUCUGUUCUAGAUGUUGUUGAUUAGAAAUACUGCCUACUGACAAAAUGUGUGAAAUCCUGUCCUGUCAGAGUCCUUGUCAGAUCACUUCUGCUGCUCAGCUCUGAGCUCUGCUUACGGUGGUGGGAAACUAGUCCUGAGGAUCCCUGGUCAGUCUCCUGUUGGAAGAUGAAAAUAUUCUCUGUGCUUAUCUGUCCCUACUGGCUUUUAAAGUUGGAGUAGAAAAAAGUUAGUAUUUUGACAAAUAACUGUUUUCAGUUUACAGUAUUAACUGUAAAUCAUUACAGUUAAUAUUUAAUAAUAUUUGAUUUUGUCUGUGGUUCACAUGUUUUUCCAACUCCCUCAUUGCUCAAAGUAAUGUUGUUAAUUGUAUGACCAGCAAAUGCUAAAUACAGGUUUACACGUAAAAGCUGAUCACGUGUCAGAAUCCUGGGCCAAAAUCUAAAAUGCUAAAGGUGUUUACUCUAGAAGUUUUUUGGUUGUUGCUGAGCCUCAGUUAAUUUUUUUUUGUGAACUUCUCUAUGAUUAUUUUCUAGGUAUCCUCUGAUCUAGCAUUAAAAACUCUUUAGUGUAACUAGAUUUGUCCAGGUAGGCGAUUUUAUCCAGAUUUUCUGUUUUGCUAUGGAUGGUUCCCCCCCCACCUUUUUCUAUUUAAAGUGUUAAAUACCUUUAUAUCCAUCUUAUAUUAACAAAAGUUUUAUAUGAAUGGAUACUGUACAUUAAAUACACGCAUCACACAGAACCCAGAAGGAUUUCCCAUGUCUGUAAUAUCAAUGGAUAGUUGAGCAUUUGCUAAAAUGAGCUGCUGAUUGUUCUUUUGCCUCUAAUAAUACUCCUUUGUAUAUCUGCUGGUAUCUUGUUUGUUCCUGUUGCAUUUGCACAAUGCAUUCCUUCAUGUUUUGUGUAGCAUCUUCAGUCCUCUUUUUGUAUGGAGAUCCAGCAACGUGAAAGAGAAAAUUCUGUUCUUAAAUCGUCCCUCUUCCUGCCCUUACUUCUCCACCCCCAGCCCCUCCAGUGUAGCUGGAAAAUGGGUCAUUAAGGGGAAUUGAGAGCAAUAUUGAUCACUGGUAUCUGGAGUUCUGGGGAAAAGGGACAAAAGUGAGCACAGGAAAAUGAUAUGUGUGUUCUGAAAACAUACAUUUAUGCUUUGAGACUCUUAAAAUCGAUAUGGGAGUGCUAUAGCUAGAAAAAUAAAUAAAUGAAGACCUCGAGUCGUUGGCUAAAAAAGCACCGAAGCUUACUGCCAUUGUAAGAGGCUUGGGUGUUGGUGUUGUGCCUUUUGCCUCUUGGUUGUUUGAAUUUCUCCUAACAGUGGUUAGCAACGUGCAAGCAGAGCGCUCAAGUCUAAACCAGAAGGGAUUUUGUCUAAUAUUAUUUGCUCUCUUUUUUUUUUUUAAAUGUAAUCGCUCUUUUGAGUUAGGCAAGUUCAACACAAUAUAUCUUGCAGUGCUGACUGCUGGGGCUGUUGUAUAACUCCUCUGGCGUAUGAGUGAUUCCCAUUGAUUUCUGCACUAAUUGUUUGCAAAUGUUACAUUUUUUGUCACAAUAUUCUGUUUUCUAUCAAUGUUUCAAGUAAGAGAUAAGAACUGAAGAAAGGUAAUUUAAAGCCAAGUGUUUAAUGGGAAGUAGUUGUUUUAAGUUACCAAACUGAGGAGAGAUGAGUGCUUGUUACAUCUCAAAACUGGCUUUGUUCCCCCCGAGCUUAGCAUAGACCAUUCCCUCUGGUUUUAUUUGCACAACAUCAGGCAUACCAGUGGAGCCUAGAAAUUAAUAAUGUUUAGCAAGACGAAGAAAGAAAUCAAGUUUCACACGCUUCUGCUGAUUUACAGCCAUAGGCAGAUCAAUAUAUAAAUAAUAUAAAGCUUCCAUAACUUGUACACCAUUUUUUUUAGAACUGUUUCCUGCAGCUCUUUCUGCAACCAUUUUUCUUCCAGUUCCUGGCUGCCAAAUACGUUUUUGAUUUCUUGUCAAAGCCAAUUGUUAAACUUAUGCUAAUAGGAGAGGGUUUAGAUGAGUUUCACAGGUGCAUUUAGCAGCAGAUACAUCACAUUUUCUCUUUUUGUGGGAAGAACACUUAAUGAAUACUCUUAAGGUUAUCCUUCAGUGUUCAACAGGUGAUCAAGCUAUUUAUUCCUCGUGGAAGCUGGUGUAUUUCUCCUUAUUUCUUUUCUGAAGCAUUAAGCAUUUUAUUCUGCAGGUAGGCUGACAUCAUUACAAAUAAGAGCUUUAUGUCUUCGAUACUUCAUAUUAUUGCAAGGAAGAUUCCUGUACAGAGUUUAACAAACGUUGUUCAGUUUGUGAAGAGCAAUGGUUCCAAUUUUUUUAUACUUAUUACUUGUUUUGUAUAUAAAUAUUCAGCCAUUCCAAUUGCUGUUGGUCUUCCUUUUCCAAGCUGUCCUGUCCAUGAACAACUUCAAAAGUGUAAAAUGUCGUGAGUUAGACAUUAUAAACUAAAAAUAUUAGACUUUCAGGAUAAUUUGGGAGGGAAAGAUGUGUAUAAUAUGGAUUGAAGACGUAGCAUAGCUUUGUAAUCGAAUGAGUAGGCCAUGCAGCUUCCCUGGGUCCUUUGUGGAGAAUCAAAGUGCAAUAACUUGUUAGUUGCGAUGUGAGAGAUUAAAAAUAAAAUCAGCGUUAUAUUUUUAAGCUGUUGUAGAUGUGUGUUGGUCAGCAGAGAAGCAAGGAAGGAACUCGAGAGAUUCUCGCACCAUCCCGAUAAAAGUCCUUUGCAAAAGCUGGCGAAGUCGGCUGUGAUACGGUAGAAUAAAACACAAAAUCAGAGGUGGGAAAGAAAAGUGUCAAUUUUUGGUACAAAAUUGAGAAUGUGAUUAUCAAAAUUCAAAGCUAAAAGUGUGUGUUAAUAUAUUUUUGAAACUAAGGUGGAAAACAAGGUGAAUGAUGAUGUCAAAAUGAAACUGUAUGAAAUGAAGCAUAUUGAAGAGUUUGCAGGAGUGAUUUAGCAGUUCCUGAAGAUGACAAGAGACAUCUGGAGAACUCUGAAAAUACAAAAUGCAAAGAUUCUUGUCAAAGCCUGUAUCUGUGUGUUGGGAUAAGAAGGAAGUUUUUGUUUAUUUAAAAAAAAAAAAAAGCAGUUUGAGGUAUUUAGAGCAGCAAGAACGUGAUGUUAGGUAUUUACAAGGCCUGCACACCAGGAGGGUGAAUGCGGUUGAAGCUAAAGGAGCCUUGAUCCACUAGGACUUAUCAUAGAUAACUUCAGGAGCAUUUGACCAGUUCUACUCUAUUCAUGGGAAGGAAAAAAGGAAAUGGACUUGCAGUUUUAUACUUUACUGAAUGAUUAGGUUUUGAUUUAGCUGAAGUGCUUCAGAAGAACAGAGUCUAUUUUUUUUUCUUGCACUCAAAAUAAGAAGCACCUACUGUAGAAAGAGCGUAUUGUAUGAAAUCUGCUGCAGUGGAUGUGAGAGCUUUCAAGUCUGACAGUUUAAGUAGUGAAGAUGAAAGUGAGGACAGUUCUUGGGCAGGGGACUUCAAGAGGAAUGUGAUUCAUGGGACACAGUGAGUAGCGUAAUUACCAGUGCAGCUGCCGUAGUAACUUCUGCCAGUACUAAAAAAAAAAAAAACAACCUGUCAUGCCCAGUGCUCUAUUGGUCGUAGUGUAAAUGAUAAAGAUGGGAGCAGCGGCGUAAUGCCUUGUUCCUCUUGCCAACUGCAGAUCGCUGCACGUGGAUGGAGCUAUUUCUGCUGGGUUUCAAAUUGGCGUAAAACCUUCACAGGAUUUCCUAAAGUGCUUAGGCUGGGGAAGUGUUUUGGAACUGGAGGUAGUGAGAUUUUUUUCCUUUUCUCUAAAGAAUAGUGAAAGGGCAGAGAUUCAGAGGGGUUGAAUGAAUCUGAUAACGGGUAAUACCUGUCAAAUUCAGGCAAGAUAAAACACUUAAACACUUAAUUUCAGUGUUUUCAAUACGUAAGUUUAUUUCAGUGAUUAAUUUGUUUUGAUAUUGUAUUAGGGCUUUUCAACUUCUCUGUGAUCAUACUUUCUUUCUGUUACGUAAUAUUUGAAAGGUCUGACCUGUAGUUCAAUAUUUGCUUCCAAUUUAGCUGAAUGAAACGUUUCAGACUUAAUCCAAAAUAGAAUUUGGGGUGAAGAGCUCUUGAAAAAUUCGGAGGGAAGAGCGGGAAGGAAUGUUCUGCUAGACUCAGGCUUCAUUUUUAUUUAAGUUUCUGGAUCUAGAAAAAAAAACAUUACUGGAGAGUGAGGGAAUUCUGUAAUAUUAACCACAGAACAUUUUCUCUCGCUAACAUGAGUUGUCAAAACUCACUUCUCCAGCACUCAUAGAAUUUCUUUAAGUGCAAUUUCCAUUUUAAAAUGUUGGAAGUGGAUUGCUAAAGGUCAUGGAUCAGUCUAGCAUCAAAGGUGGGUCUAGAAUUCUAGAAUGCUGAUUUUUGUAGUCAGGGCUGUCUAUUUGACUGCCUACCCCCAAUGUUGUGUUAGCAGAUCAUAAAAUUUCACCCAUGCAAUAUAAAUGUUCAUUGUCCUGUUUAAGAGAACCCCUAGAUUCCUAAGCUGUUCUUAGAACACGUAGCUGUUCUGAGCAUCAACUAUACGUAUGUACACAUGUAAACUUCCUGAUUUCAUUCAGUCUUUGUUAUCCUUGUUAAAGAAUUUAUAGAUCUUGCUUUUUUUUUUUUUCUAGCCUUUAAUUUGCCUAUCAUUCCAUUUUUGUCAUUUCCACCUCCUGUUUCUCGAGAAACUUGCCUACUUCAGCUUGUUUGGCGUUCUUAAGCAACGGCAUUUGUGGCUUGAUUCAAGAAAGAGGUAAAAAGGGAAUCUCAAGUUCCUGUACACAAAAUUAUUACACAAAAUUAUCACACAAUUGUUACUUAUUUCAUGAAAAUGUUCUGUAAAGAUUCCUCACUGUUGUCCCUGUUGACUGAUGGUUCUAUGGGCUUAAAUCCAGGUACAAGGGGAGUCCUACAGCAAUGCUGCAGGGCUGGGCUCUGUAAGCAAGGGGAGACCCUUGUACCUAAGCACCUCCUGACUGCAAGCAGAGUGACGGUAAGUGGUGUGCUUCUGUAGCUUACACAUCCAGCACCCAUAUGUAUGCACCGGGGCUCAGCCCUAAUAAAGCGACCUUUUUAUGGAAGUUAUAUUGCAUAUGUUCUUUGACAUAGGUUGCUAUCAGUUUAUGGAGUGAGAGUCACAUGGCAGCUGUGGAAGUGCUAUUAAAAAAUUAAGAUUCUCAUUUUGCCUGUUUUUUUUUUUUUUUAAUUUCUAAUAAUGAAAACACCAAGCCUGAAAAUGGUAGUUCAGACUUUCCCAUGAAUUCUUUGAGCCUUUUUCCAAAACAGAAAGCAAGGCAAAAAGAUUUAUUUUUUUUAAAUCCCCAUUCAAACCCUAUGAAGUAGUACAAUUUCUGCUGGUGUAAAAGGAGAUCAGCUCAUCCCAGAGCUGAUUUUGUUUUCUUCCCAGUUAGGUAUUCAGUCUCCAAAGGCGGUUAACAGGUAGGCUAGAGUAGUUCAGUACAAAGUCUUUGAAGUCCAACUGCCCGACCACCUCAGCGCUGGCCAAAAGGUAGAGCAUAUUAGUGAGUUUGAUAGCAAGUUGUUCUGAUUCUCUUUUGACUUUAUUUUUUGGCCUAGUGUAAAGAUACAGUGUGUUGCCUGCCCACUUUUUUGCUCAAUUAUAUAAAUAAUUCAACUGUUAAACUACCAGGUCACAGGUGGUGACAGGAUAUGAAACUUGCUUUAUUUACCCAGCUCCCUGAAAGAGGAUUUUGCAAUUGUUCUGAUGGCUCCAAUUGUCACUGGGGGGAGAGAAAUCUUGACCAAGGGACUGAUACCUGCAAAUAAUACCCAUGAAACGUACAAACUAGGAGGAAGACUUGAAUCUUUCUUGUAGAUGAAGUAAGUGAUGUGCUCAUCAUGUGGUUAAACGUAGAUAAAUCAGAACUUCCAGAUCCGAACUGACUGCAAAGCUCCUGUACAGCCAGAAGCACUUGGUGCUGCUUGGCCACGCAGGCUGGUCUUCGUGCAUGCUGUGCCUCCUGCCAGUUCCAUGCCCAGUUACAAGGAGCUGCAUCUAUUUUUGUAAGACUUGCAUGAAGCAAAUGAAAAGUUAAUUUAACAAAUUGAAGACUUGUGCUAGGAUAUGUGGGUGUUUCCUUUGUUCGGAGACAGAGUAAAAGGGGAGGAAGCAAAUUCUGUAGCCUGGAAGUUAUCAAAACCAAGUUAAUUUUAAAGAUGAAGUAGAAGGGCCCCUUUAGAAACCUAUAAAGCGAGAUUCUUGUGCAUCUGCACCAUUAAUGCCCUUAAGGUGGAGGUGAUCUACUGGAGUAAGAGGAAUGAAUUGGUGCAGAAGAGGAGGCUGAAUACAGCAGGGAUGUGGUGACCUGGCUCAUAUUUUGAUGGAAUUGCUGCCAUUGACUUCACGAGCACUUUGGUUUUGGCUCCUAAGCCACUUCCAGUUCCACUUCUGCAGUGAGGAUAAAGAACAAUCAGCAAGUUCGUACAGAAGCUGCUGGUAGGCAUCAGCAAUGAGAUCUAGCCUAGCAUUUAAUUAAAUUUAAAUAGAUGUCUUUUUUUCUGGAAAUAUUUGAGAAUCCUAAUCCUCUGGUGGUCACAUCGUGGUGCUUUCCCUCCUAGGUGGGCACGAAGCUUUUGGGCAGCAAAAGCAGGAGUUUUACAAGUGUUCUGUGUACUUUGUGCCCUCCAAGGCUGUAAUUCAGCCGUGUUUCACGUCUGCUGAAACAAUAGGAGCUACGGGGGUGAAAUAGGACUUGGAUAAGUGAUGCUCAGUUUUACUUCAGGAGAGGAUGGGGUGAGGGUCCCCACAUCCUUGUGGGAAGAGGAUGCUAAUGGGGAGCUGAUGUGGUAAGUGGAGGCCUCCACAGGAAGAUAAGGCUUCGUGUGCUUUUCCAGUGAAAUAUAUUACACAUUUGCUACUUUCUGGGUAACAGCCAAAGCGUUUGUUGUCCCUCCCCACACACACUUCCAUUUAUAAAUGAAGUCUUCAGUCUUUUUGAAUGUCACACGAAACCGUUCAAAACCAGACUUGAGCAAUUGAAAUUCAAUUAGUUCAAUCAGAGCAAUUCAAUUGACACAGCUGAGUUCUGUGAUCCGAACAAAAGAUUUUGCUUUAAUUGUGUCGGAAUAGCCUGAUGCUGAUAUGAUUGUCUUGUCCCCAGCCCUCCAGAAGGACUAAUGCAUCUUGAAGUUUACUGGCACACGCCGCAAUUUGCUGCUUGAGGUUUACGUGGUGCCUUAGCCUUUCGUGAAAUUGGAGGUCCACUGGAAAACAAAAGAAAUGUUUGUGUUUCGUGCGGGCAAACCCGCUGGAUGCUGGGGUUUAACACGUAACACUGCUAAAUUUGGGAAGCGGCUCGGUCAUCCGUUCUGUCUGGAGACAGACGAUCUUGUAAUAGCCACUUGCAGAUGAUAUUUCUGAUGAAUCAUUUGAGGUUGUGAUUCACAGCUCAACUGAGAUGAUGUUACAAGUUAAAAUUUAACUUCAUCUUAGAGCACGAAAGGUUAUGAUAGCUGCUUUCCUGCAUCUACACUUGUCCGUCUCCAACAUACGGUGGGAUGCGAAGCCAACACAACACGUUUCUUCCCUGACCAAGGUCCUCCACUACCUCGAAGCAGAGGUUUCCUUACUCAUCUUGCUUCUGCCACAAGCGACUCUCAUUCUUAGACCUCUGUUUUCCUGUGGUAUUUGGGACUGGUGGCCACCAGUGCUGUGUUGUUUUUUUUUUCCUCGCCUUCCUAGAUGUUUCUUUACCUUGUCAUAUUUGUCCCUCUUUGGGUUUCUGUAGGCGAUUAAAGACCAGAGGAGUCAUCUUGAUUCCUGUUUCUUUGCAGGAGCAUGAAACUAGUGGUCGCACCAGCAGGUCUGGUGUUACCUAGUUCUGUUUUCUGUCAGAAGUUAAAAUCUCAUGUUGGCUUUCUGAAAUUGUCUGUGUAAAUGAAGCAUCAGCUUAUGCAUCGCGUAAUUAAAGUGGAGAUUCUCAUCUUCCUCUGCCAGCCCUCCUUCAUCACUGUCUCCGGCACAGCAGAUGAAACAGCCUUAUUUGCUUAUCAUGCAAAUUCAAAUCAGGCAUCGUCUUUGAAAUAAGAUUCUCUCUAAUCCUCAAUAGCGUUGUCUAAACCUCCAUAUUUCUUCCUAUGUGAGAUUUUAGAGAUGAGGUCCUUGGCCAUCUGCACAUGUAAAACACCUCCAAUAUUUCACCAGCUAUUUAAUCACUCCUUCCAAUAUUGUUUUCUCUACCUUGACAGAUUUCGUGUGUUGCAUCCUUACCGAGUGGCAUUGCGGAGGGUGUUGCACAGGGUGGUGGUUUGCUGUUGCAUCCCGUUCUUGUGCUCUGCUCUGUUGCUUCAAAUAGGAAGUAUUUCUCCUUGCAUCAGAUCCCAGCCUGCUUGGCACAGCGUGUGCCAGCCUCCCUUGUCUGCCUGUUGCUUUUAGAUUGGGACCAUCAGUGCUGCCUGGAUGUAUUUUUGGGUCUCCCUACCUGCCUGUUCUGCCGUUGACUCUCACAUCACAUUUUUGUGCCAGUUAUGGAAUUUCUCUUGCAUGUUUAUUUUGUCCCAGGACUUGGCGUGAGUCAGUGGCUAGACUUCACAGACACAAUAGUAAAACAAACAAAUAAUGAUGGAAUAUGGAAUAAUCAGACAUAAUAAUUGACUCACAAGUAUGGAAGGUGAUCUAGUUCGUAAUUCCACUCGGGGCAGGGACAGCCACACUUAAUGUUCUCCCUAACAGAUGUUUAUGUGGGCUGCUUUGGAGGUACGUGGUAUUGAAAUGGCUGCUCCCCAAUAAUUUGCUCCAUUACCUCGCCAUCCUUGCUAGUCAUGAUGUCUGACCUGAAUCUUCCUUGCUGCAGCGUAACCCCAUCGUUUUUCAUACGGGCCGUGAAAGGAAAAAAAGGUAUUUUCAUUUGUUGUUGUUGGCAUUUUGUUGAAAGUACUCACAGACUUUGUGGUCUUGUUGUCAGGGCAGCUACCUCCGUUUCUCCAGUCUCCCUCGUGCUUGUUUCCAGUUUUCUGUAGCCUCUGUUAGGCAGAUUUCAUAGGGCACAGCAUUCCAAAGCUGGGUGCUGUUCUCCUGGCUUAUAUUUGUCUUUGAUCACCAUAAAGUGCAGCACUGCUGUCAAACUCAAUAAAUAACCCCUGUUGACUCACGCUCACCUUGUAAUUUCACUCUAACCAUUAGAUUUUUAAUUUUUUUUUCCCGUGGAGUUUCUGCACAAGGUUUGUGGUUGAAGUGGCAGUAAUGGGCAGUAGCUGCAGGUUUUUCCUCAACAAGGCUCCAGGUCUGGAUGGUCAACGUGUUAAUGCAAAUCUGUUACUAGAGGGACGUGUGAUCAGCAUGAGGAAGAUGUAUGACUCUGAACUGGAAACGCAACUGGAAAAGAUGCUGAGGCUGUUCGGAAGUCCCUGGUGGGUAUCGGGCAUCUCAUUUUUUUUCAUGGUGCUUAGGAUUUACCCUAGCAGUAGCAAUAUCUGUUACAUCAAAUAGCAUUACGCCUGACGUUCAUCCCCUCAGUAUGUAAAGGGAGGAAUUUUAUCCUCUUUCAACCUUCACUUUUGUCAACCUGAACAAGUGGAGCACCUGUGUACUCGAUGAGAUCCAUUACCAAGAUAAUCUUAGUUGUUGUUCUCUCAACCUGUUCCUUUCUAACAAGAAUAAUCAGAUUUUUUUACUCGCUUUUCUUACCUGUUUCAUCCUGGGUGUCGCUUACAAUGUGAGAUAUCCAAUUUCAUCGCUGACUCUUGAACUUUAGAGACAACUUAAAGAAGUGUAAGUAUUACAGGUGAUGCUUUGAAGAGUGACUCUUCAGGCCAAGUGGCUGAAAUCUGUCCGCAGGAUCCCAGCGUGCUGUGAUGGGUGAGGAGCUGCCUAUGCCAACGCUGGACCAAAGUCUCCCAAGGAUUCUCAGACUGAAAACAGUGCCAGAGGGGAUAGAAAAAGUUCUGGGUAGAGAAAGAGGGUUUCUGAUUAUCAAUCAGUCUCCACACCGAGUGCAAUACUGCUAUUCUGGGCCUUGGAAAGUGACAUGCUAUUUUCCUUUCCUUUUAAAUAUGACAAAAGCAAAGGCUAGGACUAAGUGGUGGAUAUUAAAUAUUGAAUAUUCCAAAAAGAUCUGUCAUCUGCUAAGCAUAAGAUGACUUUCUUCCAAAAAGAAGCAAGCUGGCUAGACACUAUAUGUUUGUUUUCUUUUUUUUUUUCACAGAGGUCAUGUAUUCCCAUUCCUGCUUAAGCUAAAUUAACAGCGCCGUUUGUUGCGGGGUCAGACUUUCAGAUAAUAGCUGUACAAAGUGCCUCAGCAUGCUGGGUGUCUUCUGAAUGAGGCUCCGAAUACGGAUCUCUGCGCUGGAAUGUGCGGUUGGAGAUGAGCUAGGGAAAUAUUCAGCGGCUUUGGAUGUUAUUACUGCUUAUGUGCUGCGUUAUUCUUCCUGAAAAUUCCCAGAGCUUGCAAUAUGUUGUGUGUAUAUACAUAAAAGCCCCGUGAGGGGAGGAAUAAAAUACAUUUUUCUUUCUCUCCUCCGUUCCUCAUGAAUAGCUUCGUUCCUGAAAACCGAAAGUGAUGUAACCUUGUUUAUUUUCUUACUUCCACUUGUGCUGUUUUUACAGUCAUCUUAAAAACGUUCUGCUUCUGUCGUUGUUCUUUAAAUAUUUGCUUUUCUAUCUCAGACAGCCUUCUGAGUGGAAGUCCAUGGGAAAGGGAUGUUUGUGGUUUAUUCGUGUUAUAAGUUCUAGUAGUUGGAAGAUGUAGAAAUUACAGCAGUAUGGUCAAAAGGAGUAGAGCUGUGUUUUCAAACACUGUAACUGUGCAUGCAAAUGCUGUGGCCACCAUCUAUUUUCUCUAAGGUCAAUCAGGCGACCAAAACUUGCGAUUAAUUUGUGUGAAAACUGAUACAAAAAAAAAUAAUUGUGUUGGUAGUUGGCAUCAUCUUAACACAGGCAUCAGAAAGCCAGGGUGAGUGCGUGCGCGUUCCUGAAGAAGGGUGGGUGUUACCCGGACAGGAGCUGUUCCAAAAACACAAAAAGCCUGAAUUAGCAUGUGCAGGUAUGUGGAGCUGCAUUCCAAGUGCGUGUCCUCAUUGGCAGUGACCAUGCAAAUCGAGCUGUUGUGCAUGCAGAUGAGCUCUGCUUGUUCCACUGUGCCUGCACCUAGCUCCAGAUAAAUGAUUAUCCAAAGGAGAAGCCAAAUGGCCCCAGUGGUUUGUAUUCGGUAGAAUAUUUCUGAACUUUAAUACAAAAACAAACAAAAAACCACUCAUAUAACGUGGUUAUAUUUCAAAAGAGACAUUUCUGCAUACAGGUUACCGAAUGUGCGGUGUAGUAUCAGAAGUGAGUGCAAGGGAAGUCCUGGUUUUUGUGAUCUAAGUUAAUCAACUUUAUUCUGUGAGGUGGCAAAGAGGGAUUCUGGUAUAUGAUUUACUACGUAGGGUAAGUGUUAGGGGUGGCUUUUUGUUCUCUAAAAUGAAGACAGUGACUCACCAACUUCUGUUUUUCAGAAACACCAGUGAAAUAUCUCCCCCUUGAUUUAAUCUGCAGCUUGUUCCAUCUUUCUACCUUCCUUCUGUAAAGAGCCACGUCUCUUUCAAUGUUUUUCUCAAAAUCUCUGAAUGCAAAGGUGACAUGGGUGGGACUUCAAGCUGGAAGUAGGAAAUAAAACUUAAGCCAAGGGAGGUAUUAUGUUAAAAUACAUACAGAUACACGUGUAUUUCCGUGAAGGGCUGCUUCUAUCACAAAUCCACCUUAUUAUCAUGUUGUAUUCUCCAGGAAUACACGAACCCCACCAAAGAGGGGGGAGGCAAUAAAGAAAGGAGGCACAGAAGGGUUUGAAUUAACCAGGCUGUCCCAUUCCAAACCUCAGACAGCAACAAAGGACUGCUCUGGAUUUCUAGAAACCAGUUUUGUUGAUCUUCCGAGAAUUUAGUAAAUACACACCCCAAAACAGACUUUACUUUGUAUUUUGCCUGGGGACUGUGUGCGCAGAGCACUGCACAAGUUUGGCUAGCUGUAUGUGAUUUUAAGAAGCUGAAGGAGUUAAGUAGGGUAAAACUCUCAGUGUACACCAGCUCAGCCCAGGAAGAAUUCAUAUACCGUGAAAUUUGGGUGAAAGAAAGGUGUUUUUGACUCCUUAAAUUACAACUUUAUGGAGUUAUGUUCCUAGGACUUUCACACUGCAGUUUCUCUUUACCCCAGCGCUCCACAAUUUGCAAAUGUGUUCUUCAGCAGAAAUAACGAGCUUGCCUGUUUUGUAAUGCUACUGCUGGAAAAUGCAGAGGUAGUGUUAUUCAGCAGCAGUAUCACCUUGUACAAAGUUUACCCUUCCUCUGAUAGUGAUCUCUGGCACAUAUUAGAUGCAAAAGACCUGAGAGUGACAGCAGCACUUGCCGUAGCCCUCAUGUAUGAGCAGGAAGAAGGAACAGAGCGAUGGAGCAACCUGAGAGCAUCGAGAGCCCUGCGGGUGUGCCUGGUGGCCUCUGGUCCCAGAAGGGGGGACAGGUCUAGCUCAGGUGGAUCUAGUACCCGAGGAAGCACCCAACCAGUCCUCAGUAGGCCCUGCAAUGCUCUCGGGAACCUUCUGCCGGUGUCUGUGCUGCUGAUCAAGUGAUUUUUAACUCGGGUUUCAUUGGGGAAAGGUGGUGUCAGUCAGCAUCCUGCCAGGCAGGUUUAAUGGGGUGGAGGUUCUGGGAAAACUGGUGGGACUGGAAGCUGUACUCUCCUAAUAGGAAAAUGGAGCUAGGCUUCUGAAUAAAAAGGAGUUAUUUGCCUAAUUUCCCUUCAGAUGUUCUAAUAUACACAGGGGUCCAAAGCUAAUUCUCUAUUUAAUUGCUUUUAGUUGGCUAAGACUCAGACCUCAGAGAUGGGGGGGGGAUAGGAGGGAGGGAGCAAACAGCAACCUGUGGGUGGGAAACCAGGUAAGGAAUAAACUUUAUAUUUAAAAAAAAAAAAAAUCUUUUUUUUUUUUUCUGUUGUCUUUGGUCUGUGUUUAUUUUCUGCCAGUUCUCUCGUUCCUUUGUGAUCUAUUUUAUUUGUAUGGGUAUUUCUCAGAAAGCAGCUGUUGUGCUUGUGGCAUAAAACAGAAUGGGGAGAAGUGCUUCGUGACAUCACCUCUUACAAAUCCUUUCCCCCAUGCCUUAAAAACAAGAUGAAAAUCGCCCAGGUUUACAGAAAAAUGACUUUUAUUUAUUUGUUCAUUUAUUCUGUUGGGAGACUAUGGGCGGGGGGGCUGUGAGCUCUGGAAAUUCUUGCUUGAAAGGGCAGGGAUUUAAGUCUCAGCCAAUGUUACUUCUCCCUAGGUAUUUGAGUUAAUGAACAUAAAUAGAAACCAGAUAAUUUUAAGACACCUGUGGUAAAGCAAUUUCCUUUUGCAGAUCAAAUUUUGCUACCAUCUCUCUGAUUUUCCCCUACAUGUACCCCAGGGGAAAGUAAACCUCAGUGUCCAAUGCGAGAUCUCAGCAGGCAGGAGAAUACUGCUCCUUUUAACAAACUGUACCUGGUUAUGCCCUGAAAACAAAAGAAAAAGUAUAUGGGGAACAUUCACAACCUUAACUUAAAAAAAAAAAAAUAAAAUCUUUCCUGAAAUAAAUGAAUUUGGAAUGUUUUCUUUGAGCAGCCUGACUCUUCCUUUAGCUGUCCAUGUCUGAUACCUGUUCUGUAGGCUGUUUUUGUCCAAAACCUGGAUAUUUAAGGCCUCAUUUUGGAAGGUACCACGCGUAAGACGCUUCACCCAGUGGUUGUGAGGGUACAUCUGAAGCUGAAACUCGAUGCAGGUCUCGGCAUUUGCAUUAAGAAACCUUCAGCAGCUGUUGAGAGCAGAGUGCCCGCAGUGUGCAGGCACCUUCUGCUCAAGCUGUUUUGGGUCAUGCUGCAGCCAAACAGCCCGGUGAUGCCUCGAAACAGGGAGUUGUCAUCCUGGUAAGCUGCUUGUGGCUCUGUGAGUGCCGUGUUUUCAGGCAAUUAUUGUGCUUGUGUUUUCCUGUAGGCCAUGCCAGCUGUGUCUGCCAGGUACUGGCCAUUGUCCCUCUUUUUUUUUGUCACUGGAUGGACCUUUACUCAACUCUCCACUUUUAACUCUGGUUUGGUCAAAACAGGCCACCCAAGAGCGUGUUUUUGUACCUCAGUAGUUAACUGUCUUUAUGAAUUGUCAAUGUGUAUACAAAUGCGAAUGUAUAAAAUCUGUGCGUAGCCGUACCUUUAUUUUUGCUGAUUAUAUUGGGAAGGUGGGGUGUGUUUGGUAAGGUGCAUCAUUAUAUUACUUGCCUUCCUCAAGAGUUAAAACUGAGGAGUCGGUGUGAGAUGCUUUAGGGAAUAAAUUGGUUAUUAAAAAAAAAGUAUUACUUUUUGUAAAAAUAAAGAUGUAAGAUAAAUUCUCUUUUUGUAAAGAGAUUUAUUUACUUUUUUGGUUGGGGGAGUAGGGGGCUAUAGAUUUCAAGGAAGAAGCAUGUUUGACAGGCCAUUCAAAAAGUUUCAAGUGUACUGUAAUCCAAAAACAAAGUCAAAGCAACGUGCAGAGUGAGUGUUUUCAUGUAGUUAAUUCUACAACAUCAACUUUUCAUCCUGAUCCCUUUUUUCUUUAAAUCCAAAUAUCUGGCACUUGCUCGCAACAGAAGUCCUGUUUUAAUGUAUGUGCCCUUCCAUUGAUUUUAACAUAAAGUUAAAUAGCUCCGGAGUGAUAUUGAAAUCAGAGCUAUACAUUUCAUAAUAAGUUAAAAAAAUAUCCAGUCAAAUUCUGGAUAGUAAAUUUUGGAUAUAAUGAAGUUGUUCAUAACUUCUUUUGGGGAAUGAGUAUGGCUACGUUUCCCUGGUGAUUUACAAUGGCCACAAUUUUUAAGAGGCCUAAAUUCCCUUUCCAGUUUCUAAUCAUUUAGAACACUUCCAUAAAGAAGCCGUGGUGUUAUGUUGGCCAUACUGCGAUCUAAUUAAAUAUUUACUGUACUCGUCUAUCUGGUGGCUGAGCCGGGCCCGUGGAAGUGCUGAUGCACGCAGCCCUGCAGCUGACGGUCCUGAGCUGGCGACCCGACCCCACGCUGCCCGUCUUUCAUCCCCAACACUCUUCUGGCUCGCCUGGGUUUUAUUUCCAAGAAUCUCUUGACAGGUGAAGAUGUCUGUCUUUGAAGUUCCUCGCAGAGGCAGGUUCCCCGUUGGCCCGCAGUGUGCUGCAACAGCACCCGCCUUUGUGUGUUUGGUGCUGUGCCUCUUGCUUCUCCUGUGCUCUAAAUAUUCCUCGUUUAAUGAAGUGAAGCUCUUUAAUUACUAUUUUUCUUUGUGGAACGGCUCGUGGUCCCUUGGUCUUUUGAUACUAUCAGACUGGAAGGGAGAGGAAAAUCCUUUAAACAAUUUUCCAACUCCCUCUAGAGGAUUUCUUUCCAAGCCCAGAAAUAGCUGCGCAGCGGGAGAAGCGGAGCGCUCAGUCGCUGCGCCUGCACAGCCAGGUUUCAGUCCAGAUUAUAUCUUUUUCCAGUAUCCACAGACUGCUUUUUUUUUUUCCCUGUCAGUUCCUGCUAAUGUCUCCCUGAUUUUAUUCCUGCUGUUCUUUAAAUAUGAAUGCUCAUGGUCCAUUUUUCCUUAGGCAAUGCAAGCCUGGCGUUCUCUGCCAUGGGAUCCCGCUGCAGUCAUCCUACCUGGAGGAUGGCUGUUCUCGUGGUGUGCUGAUUCCCCCGGACCAAACCUUCUGAGACUGUCCAAGUAGAAAGCUGAAUUUUAGCACCUCUUAGCUGCCUUCUUUCCCAUCACGAUAUUGACAUUUUAAUGUCUGUUGCGCAUAGCAACUUGUUUUCAUGGUGGUGUCUUUUACCCUUUUGUGCCCCUAAGUUGCUUGCAUCUCCGUAGCAGUCCUUUGCUGCCCGUUGUGUUGUGCCACAGCUGCUGAAAAGCAGUUCAAGUUGUAUGGACCGAUGGGGCUGCUUUAUAAAGGUCACAGGAAGAGGGGAGACCUUUUUAUUAGGGCGUACUGAUGUGGUCCCUCUCAGAAAGGUGCUCAUGUCGGGUCUGGUCUGUACAGAAAAAUGCUCCAGUGUACUCUGAGUGUUUCUGAUGGGUGUUUAAAUGAUGCGGGGCUCAUUCCUCCUGUUCCAGGUGCAGUAUCUUAUUUAGCCAUUCAAUAUCUUUCCCCUGGCAUCAGGGAAAUCUCUUAGGGGAGUAUUGGGGUAGGAAGAAGCCAUCCCAGGCUCUCUUGGUUCCAGAUUCCCUCAGCCUCUUCUUAGCAAGUGGUUGUAGGUAAGGGCUAAGGGCACUAAAUCCUUCUCAGUCAGACACAGGCUGCAGCCACCUCUUGUCCACCUCCUCAUUCCCUAAAGGAAGCAUUAACCAGACCCAUCACCCCAAAAUCAGCAGCUGAUGAUACCCAACACCAUCUACUCCAUUUCCCCUGCGCACAGUCCCGGAGAAUCAACUCCCCGCCUGCCCACCUACCGGUGCCAUCCAUCCAUCCUCAGCCAGGUGCAGAUUUGGGGCUAUCCUGCUUUUAGGGGGGAGGGUUUAUCCGCGGCCGAGGUGGGACCGUGCGCCCCCCCCGGCUGUGCGCAAAGCCGGGCGCGCCCCGGCCGUUACCGGCGCCAUGGCCGGGCUGCUGCCGGUGCUGGGGCUGCUGCCGCUGCUGUCGGUGCUGCCUCCCCGCGGUGAGUGGGGCCGGGACCGGGGGGAGCCUUCCUAAGCUGCACACCCAGCCCCGGAGUGCCCGUGGUUAAAGGCAGGACGGGUUUGAGCAGAGCGGUCCUUCCCCUGCUGAAGGUGUUGGGUGGAGAAGUGCCUGGAUGCCACGGAGCUGCUGUGUGCUCGCAUAUAUGCGUGUCCUGCCUGUUGCAGGGUGAGGGUUGUCACCCCGUUACAUCACGAGGAACACAACGUGCAUGAAUUUAGGGAAGUGGCAAGCUGGAACAGCUCUGGUGCAGCGCGGGGUGGUGGCAUCCUGCUGGGGAGGCAGAGCGCGAGGUGCUGAGAGCCUGGCCCUGCUUCUCCUGCUACUCAUGUCUGUAAAUUUCAUUUUCUUCUUCUCCCUUUCUACAUAUUUCUUUGUGUUACUCUCAUUUUGAAGUGUACCCUCUGUUUCGGUGGGUUUGGUUAGGUCCCAGACCCCAGGCACACUCUAUAACAGCGUGCUGCUGCUGCUUGUGAUGCCAGCUUCCAUCCAGCCUUUGACCAGAGUGCUGUGCCUUUCAUUUAAGAAGGGCAGUUCUUAAAUGAAUAUAAUAAAAUAAAAGUUCUUGGCAGUACCACAGCCGUUGUGAUGAUCCCACAUCCAGCCUUUGCCCAGAGUGCUGUGGUCAGGUGAAAAGUGGGUGCACAGCCCCAGGGCUGGAAGUCAAGGGCAGGACAGGAGCAGGAGGAUGAGACGGUGCUGGGACAGCACAGGGACAGGAGUGUGCCUCAGGACACCCAGGAAUUUAUGCUGAGUGUGAGCUCUCCCACGGCGCAUCGCUGUGUAACCUUUGAAAGGAGGAGAUGAGAUCUUCCUGCCUGUACCCAGGGCUCUGGCUGGACCUGCGUGAAGCUGUUGCUCAUUUUAUUCAUGCUGCAUAACCCACCUUUGUCCCUUGGAGAGUUCCCUCAGCAGCGACUUGUUAGAGAAGCCCCAAAAAUUUAUGUCCUUGCUAUGAAUGAGCUAGAGUAAAUCUCUGGCACGUGCACAGAGUCUUCUCUGUACCUUUCUGCAGAAUGCAUGUUUUUAAGUAGAGAAAAUUUUACAGAAAUAAAAAUAAUACUGGGCUUUGCCUCCUCUGUAGUAAUAACAUCUUGAAGUCUCUGCAAAUUUCUGCCUGAAUGAACUGUUAAAACAUCAUCCGCAGCAGGAUCCAGCACCAAGUCCCCGUUUGCUGUUGUGGGGAGGCCUGGAGGAAACUUUAAAGAAGACAGCUGAGUGCAAAUCAAUAUUUUUCUUGACAGCCCUGGUCCUCUUCCUCUCUUUCCAAUUUACAUCUGUCCUCCAGAAACGGCAAAUCUCUGGUAGUCACCAAAGAGGCUGCCACCUUCUGGACUGCAGGGGUUUGGGGGAUUUUUAAUUAUUUAUUUAAUUUACAGACAAAAUGGGUUAAUUGGUGUACUUUCUCCACUGUAAACCUGUUGAGAUCCCAUAGUUCCAAAUUUUUCCAUUGCUUGAGUAGGGAUUUAGCAGUAAUUUCCCUAUUCUCAGGUUAAUUGUUGGUCUUUAAGGUUUUUAUCUCAGUUAUGAAAUUAGGUAGAAGUCUUCACACGGCUGAAGGCACUGUGAAAGUCUCUGUAAAACCUGACUUGUUAGAGAACCGAUCGUGUGAGGAAAGCUCUUUGACAUCAGAGGUCAAACUCGUUUGCUCCAAACGUGGUUUCUUGUGUGGAUGCUGUUCUGAAAACAACUUCUGGCUGAAAGAGUUACAGACUCUGAGUUGUUAUGUACACGGUAAGGUUUUGAUGAAGCCUCGUGAAAGACAGAAGUUUAUUUGCAGUCUUUCAGCCAAAAUUGCACAACGUUUUUUAGC